GAGGCUGAGGACGAAUGUUUGACGAGGAGCAUCAGUCUGGGGUACUUGCAGCAGCUACAACAACGAAGCAACCCGCCUUCACCAAUUCCGUCGAAUUCAAGAGGACACAGAUACCUUGUAACUGGAGAUUCCUUCAAAACGAUUCCCUACAGUUACCGUAUAAAGCACUGCAAAGUUGGGUGACCAGGGCCAUCUGGGACUGCCUCUUGGGGGAAUUCAGGCAUGUGAAGGCUAGCUGUGUCCUGCAUAUCUUCAUGAGGAUAGACACGAGGACCAAGUCUGCUGAUCUGUAG
rnacentral:lncRNA from 13 species